rnacentral:rRNA from 1 species
CCUACGGGUGGCAGCAGUGGGGGAUAGUGCACAAUGGGGGAAACCCUGAUGCAGCGACGCCGCGUGAGUGAAGAAGGAGUUCGGGAGGUAAAGCGCUAUCAGCAGGGAAGAAAAGGACAGUACCUGACCAAGAAGCCCCGGCGAACUACGUGCCAGCAGCCGCGGUAAGACGUAGGGGGCAAGCGUUAUCCGGAUUGACUGGGUGUAAAGGGAGCGUAGACGGUUAUGGAAGUCUGGAGUGAAAGCCCGGGGCCCCACCCCGGGACGGCUUGGGAAACGGUGUAACGGGAGUACAGGAGGGGCCGGCGGCAUUCCUGGUGUCGCGGUGACAUGCGUAGAUCUCCGGCGG